rfam:Danio rerio chromosome 22, GRCz11 reference primary assembly.
AGCAGAGUGGCGCAGCGGAAGCGUGCUGGACCUAUAACCCAGAGGUCGAGGGAUCGAAACCAUCCUCUGCUA